CACCAGGUGUCGUUCAUUUUAAUGGUGGUAAAACCUGCACCCUCCAUUAUCAAACAUCUUUCCAGCUGAUCCUGGGUAGACAGGCUUGGAACCUUGCUACAGAUCAGUGCAUUCCUACCUGACUUUGAAACGCUCAAACUCUUUGUUCCAGUGACUGACUGGGCUUUCAGUUAACAUGUAAAGCAAAUAAAGUGUUAUUGCUCUAUUCAAAUCAGAGAAUCUGGGCAGACUCAGACUCCCCAAAUCUCCAUACUAGUCCUGAGGGGCUCUGGGUGAAAGGCGGUCUUGAUGGUGGCCUCACGUGGCUGGGCUGAACUGCAGCCUCUGAAGACAGCACCAAGUCAUUUUCAUGUAUUUGACCUCCCACAGAGGAUGUAACAGAGGGUCUGGGUGUGGUCAAUAUGCCAUAAAAAUUUGUGGAAUGAAUACAGCACAGGAGGAGGAAAGUGUGACAUACUCGGAUGUCUGCCAACCUCCAGGUAGGCUGUAAGUAAGAGGGGAUAUUUCCUCUCUCCCUUUUUUUUUUUUUUUUUUUUUUGAGACAGGAUCUCCCUCUGUCACCCAGGCUGGAGUGCAGUGGCGCGAUCUUGGCUCACUGAAACCUCUGCCUUUGGGUUCAAGCGAUUCUCCUGCCUCAGCCUCCUGAGUAGCUGGGACUAUAGGCGCGCACCACCACGCCUGGCUAAUUUUUUGUAUUUUAGUAGAGACGAGGUUUCACCAUGUUGCCCAGGGUGGACUCGAACUCCUGAGCUCAGGCAACUGGCCCACCUCGGCCUCUCAAAGUGCUGGGAUUACAGGCGUGAGCCACCGCGCCCGGCUGAUUUUUCCUCUCUAAUGUGGGAACCUGGUCGAGCUCUCGGAGGUAAAAUUCACCAAGCGCAGGUCCCCCAUGACUGGGUUCCCCUGGAGUUUUUCUCUCACUUGUCCAGGUGGCAUCUCCAGAAAUUCAUGAGGGGCAGCUCAAGUCCGUGGCAUUGGCCCCGCAGAGGUUCUGCUCCUGUCAGCUGAGGUUCUUGGAACCCGCUUGUCUGUGUCUCCAGAUUUGGGGGCCGUGCUUUGCCUGGUGACUCAGUUCUCUGACGGAUGAAGAAGAGUUGUUGAUUUUCAGUUUGUUCAUCCUUUUCCUUCCGUGUGGAUGGGAGCUGGACUGGACCCUGGAGCCCGGAGCCGAGAAGUCAGGAAGAUGAUUCCGCAAGUGCUCAGUGGUGUGUCUACAGUCGAGAGCAUCUUCGUGUGAGUGGAGCACAGUUGAUGCUGCUGGAGUCACUGGAGUGCAGGAGCUCAAAGGGUGGCCCAGUCUCAAAGGGCGCACCAGACCCUGUCCUAGGUCCAGGGACAAAUGCUCACAGCUCCCUCAGCCACCCCCACAUUGCUACGAGAGGAGGACUGCCUUGUCCCUGUUUUACAAAAGAGGAAACUGAGGCACAGGUGGGUGAGGAUUGGCCUGCAGGAGAGCCAGACCUGCUCGCUGCACAUCUGCACCGUGAGCCAUCUCUGCAGAGGGACAGACAGAAGCUGCCCGAUUGACUCCCACCCACAGUCAGCCGCUGGUCAGCUGCUGCACUGGUGACGUCACUGACAGGGAGAAUCUGCUCCCACGGCUGCAUCUCCUGCUGUCACCAUCUCCUCUAAGCCUCCACUUCACUCAGCUUCAUUUAAUGGGGGUUGUGUUCGUCUGCUCACAAACUCAACAAAUGUCAAGUAUUUCCUAAGCGUAGGCCCUGGGUUGAAGCCUCAGUGUGGGAAUAAACAGGUUCGUGUCCCCAUAGAGGUCAUGAUCUAAUGAGAAGAGAGAACAAUCACAUCACUUGGCUAAUAAAUAACAGGUUCUGAGAUAGCUGCUGAGAGCGAC
rnacentral:lncRNA from 10 species